CAGCAGCCGCGGUAAUACGUAGGUGGCAAGCGUUGUCCGGAAUUAUUGGGCGUAAAGGGCUCGCAGGCGGUUUCUUAAGUCUGAUGUGAAAGCCCCCGGCUCAACCGGGGAGGGUCAUUGGAAACUGGGAAACUUGAGUGCAGAAGAGGAGAGUGGAGUUCCACGUGUAGCGGUGAAAUGCGUAGAGAUGUGGAGGAACACCAGUGGCGAAGGCGACUCUCUGGUCUGUAACUGACGCUGAGGAGCGAAAGCGUGGGGAGCGAACAGGAUUAGAUACCCCGGUAGUCCCUGUCUCUUAUAC
rnacentral:rRNA from 1 species